GAAAGCAAACAGUUGGGUCGGAGGUCUCUCUGCUCGGUUUUGUUUCCUAGGGUUCGAUACAGCGGCGGCGACGUUUUCAGAUCGGCAGAGGUUCACCCCCCACCCCCAUUCCGGCGAACGACGCCGCUCCCUCUCCUGAGAGUCUCGCCGAAGGAUCUCAGAUCCUUUGUUUGGACUGUAGUUUCAUACAUGUUCAAAGAUACGCUAAAGUUGCCACCUUCGUCUUCCCAGAUUGUGUUUUCGAUAUCUUUCUUCUCGUGGAGCAUUAAACCAUUAUAUAGAAUCUUCUUGUUAAACUUAGUGUGCAUAGGUCAUGUUUUGGACAGUGAAGGUGAUUAUGUAGAAGCACUAAAGGCAUUUAUAGAUAGCCACAGGCGAAAGUGAAUACAAAUAUGAGAUAGCUUUCAGCCUUCCAGAAAGGGUUGAAGGCAAUCCUGGUUUGGAAUACGUACAUCACCUCAUUUUCUCUUGGUUUCAUGAGUUCACAGUAAAGCAUAGCAAGAAGAACGUUGAAGAUAACUACAUAAGACUUUCAUAGAAUUUGAAGAAUUGACUGCUGCUUAUGCAAAAGGUGAGGUGCAUCCUGGCGACAUCAAACCGUAUUUGGCAAAAGCAUUGAAUAGGAUAAUGGAGCUUAAGAAAGAGAUGUCAGAGCUGACCCUGCAACGAGACCUUGCUCAGUCUCAGGUUAAGGAUCUGGUACAAGUGCUUGGAGAUGAUAAACUAUCACCAUUUUUUCGAUGUGAUCUUUGUGCAGUUACAUUAUCCAAAAGCAAAUGGACCUAAGCAAAGCUCACCAGCUGAGCUUGUAAAUAAUUGUCAAUGCAUUUGAAAUGGACAUCGAUGUUGAUGAGUUACUUGCUUCAAAUGGAAAGAGCGUCAACUGAUCAUAGAAUAGAGAUAGUGACCCAUUGUAUUUGAAAAAUACAUUAUUUUAGGAAGCAUGCCAAAAAACAAUGGUGUGAAAUCGAAAUUGUGGGUGAGUUAGUUUGGUCAAUUUUUCCAUACGUUAAACUCUCAUAUAGAUGAGACCUAAUUACACAUGUUAAAACUUAGAGACGUUCAGCUCCCGACGAUAGGGCUCCUCAUAGGUAAGAUUAAACGUAAAAAGAGUUUACCACUUUUAUCGGGACCUAAAUGUUACCUGAAAUAUAUGAUUUUUCAACCAUAGCC